AGGACCCUCCUUCGCCAUGACUUCACCGCGCUCCGCCGGCCGCCGGGUCCCCGGGAAAUGAAGCCAGCCAGCUGCCAGCCGGCCUCCUAACUCCUCCUUCCUCUCCGAGCCCAGAGCUCCAGAAGUUGGUCGUGCUUACUGGACAUUUUCUUAUAACAGCACCUCAAUUUUCCUUGGUAGAAUCCCUUC